ensembl:lncRNA
UUUUUUUUUUUUUUUUUUUUUUUUUGUCUUUUUGCCUUUUCUAGGGCUGCUCUGGCGGCAUAUGGAGGUUCCCAGGCUAGGGGUCUAAUUGUAGUUGUAGCCGCUGGCCUACACCACAGCUGCAGCAACAUGGCCUACACCACAGCUCACAGCGAUGCUAGAUCCUUAACCCACUGAGCAAGGCCAGGGAUUGAACCCACAACCUAAUGGAUCUUGGAUUCGUUAACAACUGUGCCACCACGAGAACUCCAAUAGGGAUUAAAUUGAGUAUAAUUGCAAAUUGAAAUUUGCUUUGAGAAUAUUUGUGUCUUUCAGAUAUUAUAUAAUGCAAAAAAAAAAAAAGAUGUGAGACAUUUCUUUUUUAGUACAGUGCAUCGCAGCACAGGUAUAAUGAACCUACCAGGACAGUUAUACUCUAUUGUCCCUUCUAUGGGUGAUUAAAGAUACUCCUGUUAAAGUAGUGAAUUAGGGAGGCUUUGACAGUUAUUUCAGGGAUUUCACAUUUAACUAAAAAGUUUUUGGAAUGCUUAAGUUGAACUUACCAGUCAGUUUUGGAUAACUGUUUGUGUUUUUCUGAGAGUUACCAUCAUGUGAGAAAAAUCAGCCUCAUUAAAUUAGUCUCUACUGCUGUGUGACAAGCAAAAAUUUUCUUUUCAAGCUUAAUCAUGUGUCAUGAACAGACUUGACCCUGGCAGGCUGUUUCUGAAAGUUAACUCCAUUUUUAUGAGAUUUGCUGCCAUUGAUGUUAAAGAAAUGCAUAGUAGCCUCUGAAUGCAAUUCCAAAAAGAGGAGUUCGAAAAACUCUGAGCUACAGUAAUAUUAUAGCUGGAGGACUAAUCUCCUUUAGAUGAAUUAUAUCUGGCACAUAUUUACUUUUUAAAAUUUGAAGUAUAAUUUAAAGAGUGUAAAAUUCACAGGUAGUAAGUAUCCAGUUCAGUGAGCUUUAAAAAAUUGCACACACUUGUGUAACCCAAACUCCCAACAAAAUAUAGAGCAGUCCCAUCACCAUAGGGUUUGUCCUGCUCCUUUCUCUCAUUCUCUGAAUUGAACCUCCACCAUCACCCAGGCAACUACUGAUACCUUUCAGCAUAGCCUGUCCCCGAAGUUCAGUAAACGGCAUCAUAAAGCAUGCCCUCUAUUGUGCCUAGUUCUUUCUCCCAGCAUAAUAUUUUAAUGUUUUUCAAGGUUCCUCUAUGGCUAGGGGUCCAAUCGAAGCUGUAGCCACCACCCUACACCACAGCCACAGGGACAUGGGAUCCGAGCCCCAUCUGUGACCUACACCAUAGCUCAUGUAACACCAGAUCCUUAACCCACUGACGGGCCAGGGAUCGAACCUGAAACCUAUGGUUCCUAGUCAGAUUUGUUUCCUCUGUGCCACAAUGGGAACUCCAUAAAUAUUUUAAAAGAAAGUUUUAUCUGAGCCUUAGAGUUUUUCCUUGAUACCCAUAUAAUAGUAAUUUCAUUAAACGAAUAUCCAUCAGGAGCACACUAUGUAGCAGACAUUAUACUGCAUGGAUUUUCUUAUGUGUUUUGAAAUUAUAUGUUAAACACCUAGAAGAAAUAAAGUAUCAGUAACUGAUCUAAACCUACAUACUUGUUUGUAAUUGAUGAUCACCAGUUUUAGUACAAAUCUGUCACUCUGUAGGCUGAAGAAAAUGAAAAAAAAUUGAGAAGAUGCAAGAUCUGUUAGCAAGGUAUAUGUGCUGAGAAAAGCGAGUGCUUAUACACCACUUUUCAAAAAUCACUUGUCUUAAAGGCUUUCUUUGCUGCUCAUUGUUGACAAAUGGACUCCAUGGGGUUGAAGCAUCAUGGAGAUUUUAAUUAAGUUUUAAUUAAAUGUUUUUCAUGGUUUUGCAUAAUUAGGAGAUAAUAUCAAAUCUAAUUCCUGCAAAAUCUAACAUGCAUUUGGGUAAUCAACACAUGAGGAAACUUGAAGCAUUCCCGUUGUUUAGUACUAUUUCUAUAAGUGUAUUUUAAAAGGAUGAUCUUUACAAUGUCUCUAAAUGUGUUUAUUAGAGUCAGUGAACUCAAAACUCUCCAGGGGUGAAAGUUUUUUUUUAAGUUUUACUUUAAACUUCAUUAGUUUUUUAUAACGCAAUUUAAUGAUUUACUAUCUCUGAAAUUAGUGUGUUUUUGUGUUUGCUAAUUUAAAAAUCUUACAUGAGCACUGUUUUUGACUUUUAAAAGUUUAAGGGGGAUAUAAUAUAAAGUAUUACAUCACUUUCAAAUGUACAAACAUAAUAAAAGGUAUGUAAACUCUGUUGCUUUGUGAUCGAAGGUAAUGAUAUAUCAAGACAAUAGGGUUGUUGGAAGGCUUACAUGAGAUAGUAUAGUAUUUCAUUGUCACACAUUGGCUAUAACCCAUACUUUAGGCUUUACUUUCAAAUGAGGUUAUAGGCAUAAUUACAAAGAUCAACUAAGAGGAUUGAACAUUUAAAAUAUUUCACAAGAGUUCCCCUUGUGGCUCAGCAAGAAUGAACCCGACUAGUGUCCAUGAGGAUGCGGGCUCAAUCCCUGGCCCCACUCAAUGGAUAAAAGGAUCUGGCAUUGCUGUGAACUGUGGUGUAAGUCACAGAUGCAGCUCAGAUCUCUGUGGCUAUGGCUGUGGUGAAGGCUGGAGGCUUCAGCUCAGAUUCAACCCCUGUCCUGGUAACUUCCAUAUGCUGUGGGUGAGGCCCUAAAAAGACAGGAAAAAAAAUAUUUCACAGUUUCAUUUUUAAGCCUUAAAUAAAUGAAAAUAUUCCAUGCUUCUCUUGACCUUUGGGGAUCUCAUUUAAAAAAUCUAUAACAUAGAUUGACCAAACAUAUUUUGAGUUUUCACUAGUUGCCAAGGGCUGUAUUAAGUUCUAGGAAUACAGAGAUGGAGAGUUAAAGAUUCCUCACUUCCUUUUUUCUCUAUUCAGCUUUUUCCCUUCUUUUAGCUUUUCAUUCAAUAUGUAUCUUUACCCCUACUUUAAGACCUACAUUUUAACUGUAAAGGAAUAGUUCAGACUAGGUGGUUUCUAAAAUCUCUCUCAUUUCUUCAAUUCUAUACUUUCUAAAUCUAUGCUGUGAAUAUGAACAUAGAUCUAUGCAAACCCUGAAGCAGUCUUUGUUGAGAAAUGCAGAAAGUUUGAAAUUAUUUUAUAUACAAACUAAAGAAACUAGGCUUUGGAGUCAGACAGGCCAAGGUACAAAUCUUUACCCCUUGGGUAAGCUACCAGAGUUCCCUGAAUUUAUUUUUGUAGAGUAAUCCAUAAAACAGGGACACAAAUUCUACUUACUUUAUAAAGGGUUAUGAAGGUAAAAUGAGAUAAUGCAUGUAAAGCAUUUUAGCAAAUGUGUUCAGAAUAUAAUAAAUUCAGAAUAAAUAUUAGUUAUUAUUAUUCAGGCAGUGUGAUAUAGGUAAUUUACCU